AGGGCUCAACCUCUCUUCUCCAACACAUUGAGCCCUUUUUUUCCUCUCUUCCCGAAAAGGAAAAAGGGAAAAGCAAUCACACCCAAUAACACUUUCAGUAGUAAACAAAGCAAAAAAGCAAACCCCCAAAAUUAGUUGAAAAGAAAAUGCCUACACCACCGGACACCAGCAAAACCUUGAAAUUAGAGAGAUACAACAAUUAUCUCCGAAAAUUUCACAGCACCAAACUCAUCUCGGCUUCCUCUAAACUUCUCUUUCGUGCAACCCUUCUCAUUGCUUUGAUUCUGAUCCUUUUUUUCACCAUCAAUUACCCUCCUCUUUCCGAUACUCCCCACCAUGUUCCUCCUCACCACCGUCUCCACCACCACAGCUUACUUUCCACUUCCCUUUUCUCCGCCGGGGGCGGUGCCGCCUGGGAGAAACAAG
rnacentral:lncRNA from 1 species